AAGUCGUAACAAGGUUUCCGUAGGUGAACCUGCGGAAGGAUCAUUAGUGAAUUGAAUAUGUUAGCGGACCUCUUCGGAGUCCCUAGCAUCAAAUCAUAUCCAUAACACCUGUGAACUGUAAGGCUGUCUUGAAAACGAAAGUGAUUAGAGCGCCUGCCCAUUUUAUACAAACAUUAAAGUAACAAACGUAGUCUUAUUAUAAUCUAAUAAAACUUUCAACAACGGAUCUCUUGGCUCUCGCAUCGAUGAAGAACGCAGCGAAAUGCGAUAAGUAAUGUGAAUUGCAGAAUUCAGUGAAUCAUCGAAUCUUUGAACGCACCUUGCGCUCUUUGGUAUUCCGAAGAGCAUGCCUGUUUGAGUGUCAUGAAAAUAUCAACCUUGACUUGGGUUUAGUGCUCUUGUCUUGGCUUGGAUUUGGCUGUUUGCCGCUCGAAAGAGUCGGCUCAGCUUAAAAGUAUUAGCUGGAUCUGUCUUUGAGACUUGGUUUGACUUGGCGUAAUAAGUUAUUUCGCUGAGGACAAUCUUCGGAUUGGCCGAGUUUCUGGGACGUUUGUCCGCUUUCUAAUACAAGUUCUAGCUUGCUAGACAUGACUUUUUUAUUAUCCGGCCUCAAAUCAGGUAGGACUACCCGCUGAACUUAAGCAUAUCAAUAAGCGGAGGAAAAGAAACUAACAAGGAUUCCCCUAGUAACGGCGAGUGAAGCGGGAAGAGCUCAAAUUUGAAAUCUGGUGGCCUCAGGCUAUCCGAGUUGUAAUCUAUAGAAACAUUUUCCGCGUUGGCCCAUGUACAAGUCUCUUGGAAUAGAGCGUCAUAGAGGGUGAGAAUCCCGUCCUUGACAUGGACUACCAGUGCUUUGUGAUAUGUUUUCAAC
rnacentral:sRNA from 1 species